CCUACGGGUGGCAGCAGUAGGGAAUCUUUCACAAUGGGCGAAAGCCUGAUGGAGCAACGCCGCGUGCAGGAUGAAGGCCUUCGGGUUGUAAACUGCUUUUAUCAGCGAGAAAUAUGACGGUAACUUAUGAAUAAGGCUCGGCUAUCUCCGUGCCAGCAGCCGCGGUCAUACGUAGGAUCCGAGCAUUAUCCGGAGUGACUGGGUGUAAAGAGUUGCGUAGGUGGCAUAAGAAGUAGCUAGUGAAAUCUGGUGGCUCAACCAUUCAGACUAUUAGCUAAACUGUUAAGCUCGAGACCGUUAGGGGUAAGUGGAAUUUCUAGUGUAGGAGUGAAAUGCGUAGAUAUUAGAAGGAACACCAAUAGCGUAGGCAGGUUACUGGGACGGUUCUGACACUAAGGCACGAAAGCGUAGGGAGCAAACGGGAUUAGAUACCCCAGUAGUC
rnacentral:rRNA from 1 species